rnacentral:rRNA from 1 species
AUUGAACGCUGGCGGCAUGCUUUACACAUGCAAGUCGAACGGUAACAGGCCGCAAGGUGCUGACGAGUGGCGAACGGGUGAGUAAUGCAUCGGAACGUGCCCAGUCGUGGGGGAUAACGCAGCGAAAGCUGUGCUAAUACCGCAUACGAUCUAUGGAUGAAAGCGGGGGACCGUAAGGCCUCGCGCGAUUGGAGCGGCCGAUGUCAGAUUAGGUAGUUGGUGGGGUAAAGGCUCACCAAGCCGACGAUCUGUAGCUGGUCUGAGAGGACGACCAGCCACACUGGGACUGAGACACGGCCCAGACUCCUACGGGAGGCAGCAGUGGGGAAUUUUGGACAAUGGGCGCAAGCCUGAUCCAGCAAUGCCGCGUGCAGGAAGAAGGCCUUCGGGUUGUAAACUGCUUUUGUACGGAACGAAACGGUCCUGGUUAAUACCCGGGGCUAAUGACGGUACCGUAAGAAUAAGCACCGGCUAACUACGUGCCAGCAGCCGCAGUAAAAC